rnacentral:lncRNA from 1 species
GUUUUAUUGCAUUUUUAACUUUCUUUUAUUUAUCUCUAGCUGCUGCUUCUUCUGUUACAAGCUCGAAGUCAUGGGAAGAUUUCCAAAAGUAUCGCUCCCAGCAUCCAGGCCCUCUAUCUAUGAGGGCCUUCCAUCGCUGGUGUUUGUAUGGGGACGACCAUCCCUCCUUUAGAUGGAGGGAUGGCACCCCAUACAACACGGGGAAUAGAGCGGAUGCUGGGAGGAGAA